UAUAAACGCCUUUAUACUGUGAAACUGCGAAUGGCUCAUUAAAACAGUUAUAAUUUAUUUGAUGGUACCUGCUACAUGGAUAACCGUAGUAACCUAGAGCUAAUACAUGCGCCAAGGCCGCGCUCGCGGCUGCAUUUAUUAGAUACAAAACCUUCCGCUUCGGCGCUGACGGUGAGUCAUGGUAACUCUGCGGAUCGCACGGCCUCGGCCGGCGACGGAUCAUUCAAAUUUCUGCCCUAUCAACUUUGGAUGGUAGGGUCGUGGCCUACCAUGGUCUUGACGGGUGACGGGGAAUUAGGGUUCGAUUCCGGAGAGGGAGCCUGAGAAACGGCUACCACAUCCAAGGAGGGCAGCAGGCGCGCAAAUUACCCAAUCCUGACUCAGGGAGGUAGUGACAAGAAAUAACAUGCGGCUGCCCGACGGGCAGGCGUCUUGGAAUGAGUGCAGUGUAAAGGCCUGCACGAGGGGCAACUGGAGGGCAAGUCUGGUGCCAGCAGCCGCGGUAAUUCCAGCUCCAGUAGCGUAUACUAAAGUUGUUGCAGUUAAAAAGCUCGUAGUCGAAGCUGUUGCGCGCGGCGGGCGCGCGCGGGGUUUUACCCCGGGCGACGUUUCCUUUGCCGUGCGCACUUGAGAGCGCGGCUGUGGGCGCGGGGUUCUUCAGUGGACGCCGCGUGGACUUUGCAGCCGCCGUUUACCGUGAACAAAUUAGGGUGUUCAAAGCAGGCCGAAGCUGCCGUGAAUACGCGAGCAUGGAAUAAUAGAAGAGGACGUGGCUCCUAUUUUGUUGGUUUCUGGGCGCCGUGUGAUGAUGAAUAGGGACGGUUGGGGGCAUUCGUAUUUCGGUGUCAGAGGUGAAAUUCUUGGAUUUCCGAAAGACGAACGGCUGCGAAGGCGUC
rnacentral:rRNA from 1 species